AGCAGGAAGGAUGAGCUCCUCCGCCUCCUGCUCCCCGCGUGGAUCGACCGCCGGGACAGGACGAGCUCCUCCGCCCCCGACGGCUCGAGUUCGUGCCGGUGCUGUUGGGUGGAGCCGUCUCUACGUCCCUCCCUCCCUGCAGGUACCUAACCUGACGUUCCUAACCUACGUUUGGUUACGUGUACUCCUCCUCUAUACGUUCGGUCCGGUACUGGAUUUCUACAGGAACCUCUUCUACCGGUAACCUCACAUCCCCUC
rnacentral:rRNA from 1 species